CCUACGGGUGGCAGCAGUGAGGAAUAUUGGUCAAUGGACGAGAGUCUGAACCAGCCAAGUAGCGUGAAGGAUGACUGCCCUAUGGGUUGUAAACUUCUUUUAUAUGGGAAUAAAAUGUUCCACGUGUGGGAGUUUGUAUGUACUAUAUGAAUAAGAAUCGGCUAACUCCGUGCCAGCAGCCGCGGUAAUACGGAGGUUCCGAGCGUUAUCCGGAUUUAUUGGGUUUAAAGGAAGCGUAGGUGGAUUGUUAAGUCAGUUGUUAAAGUUUGCGGCUUAAACGUAAAAUUGCAGUUGAAACUGGCAGUCUUGAGUACAGUAGAGGUAGGCGGAAUUCGUGGUGUAGCGGUGAAAUGCUUAGAUAUUACGAAGAACUCCGAUUGCGAAGGCAGUUCACUGGACUGCAACUGACACUGAGGCUCGAGAGUGUGGGUAUCAAACAGGAUUAGAUACCCCUGUAGUC
rnacentral:rRNA from 1 species